UUCUCUCAAAGGUCAAAACACUUUUAAAAAAAAAAAUCCAGUCAAAACCCAGAUCGUUGCCUCAUACAGUGAGCCUCAGGCAGAGAGAGCUGAGCCGAGCUCGAACCUUCAACAAUGGCUUCGAGCGUGAGUUUCCAUUUCCUGAAGAGUGUGAGAACCAGCACGGGGAAUUCCGGCAAUUCGGCGAAUGUUCGUCGGCGGGAGGACGAUGUCCUGGCAUUAUGGGCACCUACUCUGCUGAGGCACCUCGGUGGCACCUUCACCGUCAAAGCGUUUUCUCUUGAAGAUAAUGAGCUGUGGAUCAGGCACGUUGCUGUUUUCAUAGUCUAGCUCGCAACGGUUUUUUACGCCUUCCUUUUCACCCUCCUCAACAACAAGCUUCUAGUCCCCACCAUUUUCUCACUUCUUGGAGGCUCCAUUUCUUAUGGUUAUCGGGUGUUCUCCAUGUAUUCUGCAUCCUUGGAUAAGUACCGGAAAGGGAUUGUGACUUCUCGACACCCUUACCGACUGGAGGACAAUAUUGAAGGACUUUCACUAAUCUGUCUGAGCAAAGAGAAAAAUCGCUUGGAUAUUUUGAUAAGCUCAAUGUUGCGUACCACUAUUUUCGAAAAUUCAAGGGACUCAUUGUUAACCUAGAAUACAAGCCCCUUGACGAGGGUCAGAAGCAGAUCGUGGACGAGAGCGUGGCGGCUUUCUGUGGUAUCUCGCCAAAGGAUGAACUGAGUUACAGGUACGAGGUGUUUUUCACUAACCAAGAGGCGUUCCGGGAUCGUUGUGGCGCAUCUUGUUGGUAUAUAUCCAUGAUUUUGGGUGCCGUUGCGCUCGGCACGUUUGCUCAUGCUGGGAAGCAAGAUUUUAAUCAUGUUGACAUCGGAAUCAGCUAUGCUUUGUUUGUUGUACC